rnacentral:rRNA from 1 species
UACGUAGGGGGCAAGCGUUGUCCGGAAUCAUUGGGCGUAAAGAGCGCGUAGGCGGCCCAGUAAGUCCGCUCUGAAAGUCAGGGGCUCAACCUCUGAAUGCGGGUGGAUACUGCUGGGCUAGAGUCCGGAAGAGGCGAGUGGAAUUCCUGGUGUAGCGGUGAAAUGCGCAGAUAUCAGGAGGAACACCGAUGGCGAAGGCAGCCCCCUGGGCUAACACUGACGCUCAUGCACGAAAGCGUGGGGAGCAAACAGG